GAAAAAGUCUACAGUACUUCUUUUGCCAGCAAAUGAAGAGUCCAUACAUGCAUACACAAAAAGGAUUCAGAAUGGAAAGAGGAAGUGAAAGACCUGAACCUCCUGCAUCAAGGUGUGUCCAGAUGAGCACUUCUUACCUGAAAUAUAAGAAGAGACGUGUCCCCUUCAGGACAGGGUUUGAAAAAACAACAAAGAGAGAGAAGUAACCAACAAAGGGAUAAAGGAAGAAGGAGAGAGGGGAAAAAUACAGCAGGAGGAAAGAAGCAAAAGAUAGGAAAAAUAAAACACAAAUGAAGAGAU